CACGGGAGCGGCCGGGUCGGAAACGAUCGCCUGGUUCAUGGCCGGGCGAUGAUGGCGAGAGGUUCGAUGGCCGCUUCCAGCGC
rnacentral:tRNA from 1 species